UCAGGAAGGCGAGGGAGGUCCCGCCGUCUGUCAGGCUGUUCUUCAGCAGGGCGGCUGCGCUCCGCUACGUGGGCCUGGCAUGCACCAAGCUGCCGCCCGAGGCCGUCAGGGCCCUGCUGCAGGGGCUGGCGUGUAACAGCCAGAUCCGGGACCUGCAACUGGACCUCAGCAGCUGCGAGGCUUUGACGCUGACAUGGUCACCUUGGUGCUGGCCAUUGGCCGAAGCAAAUCCAUUCGCCACGUCUCCUUAGGGAAGAACUUUAACAUCAAAUCC